rnacentral:rRNA from 1 species
AGCAUUCAGUCGGAGUGGCGAGAGGUGAGACCGGACAUGACAAAGAAGGUUCCCGAGACGGGGCCGUCCGGACUUUCCCGAUCUCCUCACCGACGCAUUUGCUUCCCGCCCGAAGGACGCCGCAACCGGUUGGGGGACGGCCUUAAUGGCGAGUAACGGCAGUUGGCCGGUGGCGUUGCCUCGUGCGCGUCGCCGGCUGUUAGCCAUCUUGUCGCACGGCCCGUUCUCCGACCGUGGCAAGAAAGAGGCCCAGGCUUGGGCUUCGACGUCUCCUCCCACAAGGUAGCGGGUGAAGAAGCGUGGCAGUUGUCUGAACGGUCUGCGGGCGCACGGACUGACUCCGUGGCCCAGCGUUCCGUCGGCUUCGUUGGCUGCGCAAGCCCCGCGGGAGUGCACGACGGUUGGCGGCGAGUAGAUCGGUCACCCACCCGACCCGUCUUGAAACACGGACCAAGGAGUUG